AUUGAACGCUGGCGGCAGGCCUAACACAUGCACGUCGAGCGAGCGGCGGACGGGUGAGUAAUGUAUGGGGGCUGCCCCACAGAGGGGGAGAACUACUGGAAACGGUAGCUAUUAUCGCAUACGUUCGCAGAACCCCUAGCGGAUUAACUAGUAGGUGAGGUAAUGGCUCACAUAGGCGACGCUGCCUAGCUGGUCUGUGAGGAUGAUCAUCCACACUGGGACUGCGACACGGCCCAGACUCCUACGGAGGCAGCAGUGGGGAUUAUGGCACAAUGGGCGCAAGCCUGAUGCAGCCAGGCCGCGUGUAUGAAGAAGGCCCUAGGGUUGUAAAGUACUUUCAGUCGGGAGGCGUUACCGACAGAAGAAGCACCGGCUAACUCCGUGCCAGCAGCCGCGGUAAUAC
rnacentral:rRNA from 1 species